GACGAACGCUGGCGGCGUGCUUAACACAUGCAAGUCGAACGGAAAGGCCCUGCUUUUGUGGGGUGCUCGAGUGGCGAACGGGGGAGUAACACGUGAGUAACCUGCCCUUGACUUUGGGAUAACUCCAGGAAACUGGGGCUAAUACCGGGUAGAAGCUCCUGCUGCAUGUUGGUGGUUGGAAAGUUUCGGCGGUUGGGGCUGGACUCGAGGCUUAUCAGCUUGUUGGUGGGGUAGUCGUUUACCAAGGCUUUGACGGGUAGGCCGCCUGAGAGGGUGAACGGCGACCAGGGGACUGAGGUACGGCGCAGACGGGUACGGGAGGCAGCAGGGGAAAACAUUGCGGAGUGAGGGGGAGCGUGUUGCGACAACGCCGCGAGCGGAAUGACGUGCUUCGGGGGGUAAACCGAUUUGGCCGGUGACGAAGAGGGAGUGACGGUAAUGGGUAAGGAAGCACCGGCUAACUACGUG
rnacentral:rRNA from 1 species